UACGUAGGGGGCUAGCGUUGUCCGGAAUCAUUGGGCGUAAAGCGCGUGUAGGCGGUCCGGUAAGUCCGCUGUGAAAGUCGAGGGCUCAACCCUCGAAUGCCGGUGGAUACUGUCGGGCUUGAGUACGGGAGAGGCGAGUGGAAUUCCUGGUGUAGCGGUGAAAUGCGCAGAUAUCAGGAGGAACACCGAUUGCGAACGCAGCUCGCUGGAACGUUACUGACGCUGAGACGCGAAAGCGUGGGGAGCAAACAGG
rnacentral:rRNA from 1 species